UAACGCGUGGAGAACCUGCCGUAUACUGGGGGAUAACACUUAGAAAUAGGUGCUAAUACCGCAUAAGCGCACAGCUUCGCAUGAAGCAGUGUGGAAAACAAAAGCUAAAGCUUUUGGUGGUAUACGAUGGAUCCGCGUCUGAUUAGCUAGUUGGCGGGGUAAAGGCCCACCAAGGCGACGAUCAGUAGCCGGCCUGAGAGGGUGAACGGCCACAUUGGGACUGAGACACGGCCCAAACUCCUACGGGAGGCAGCAG
rnacentral:rRNA from 1 species